rnacentral:rRNA from 1 species
CCUUUCGGGGGCCGUAAGACAGGUGCUGCAUGGGCUGUCGUCAGCUCGUGUCGUGAGAUGUUGGGUUAAGUCCCGCAACGAGCGCAACCCCUAUCCUCAGUUGCCAUCAUUAAGUUGGGCACUCUGUGGAGACUGCCGGUGUCAAACCGGAGGAAGUGGGGAUGACGUCAAGUCCUCAUGGCCCUUAUGACCAGGGCUACACACGUGCUACAAUGGCCGGUACAAAGAGUUGCGAUACCGCGAGGUGGAGCUAAUCUCAUAAAGCCGGUCUCAGUUCGGAUUGGAGUCUGCAACUCGACUCCAUGAAGUUGGAAUCGCUAGUAAUCGCGGAUCAGCACGCCGCGGUGAAUACGUUCCCGGGCCUU